AAAUCAGUAAUUAUGUUAUGUAUUAUCAGACAAGACAACACCAUCUUUUUUGGUGACUUCAUAUCUAUGUCUAUUAUGUAUGCUCUAUGCGUGUAGCUCUAUGGAUAGUUUCAGGCUUACAGAUGAUGUAACGUCAAAUUAUUUUUACUUCGUGAUUUUUACAUUUUAAACAGUUUUAAUGCAGUGAUUUGGAUCACAUAUGAUUUGUGUAAGAAAUACUAUUUCUAACCUCACAGUUUGUAUAUAAACAUUAUGCGAACGCGAUAUGGUUUUUACAAUGUCGCACAGCAAAGUUUACGAAAUUUAUGUACAACAACAAUUUACAAUACCAAAAAUCAUUACGAUUCCUUGGGCAUUACUCCAAAAGCUUCCCAGAAGGACGUAAAGGAUGCAUAUUACAAGUUAUCAAAACUUUACCAUCCUGACAAGAAUGAGGGCAGUGAAGAGGCAAGUAAAAAGUUCCGCCAAGUCUCAGAAGCCUACGAAGUAUUAGGAAACAUAAAACUUAGAAAAUUAUAUGAUAGAGGGGCGUCUAAUCUUGGUAGACGAGGGCAGUAUCCUACAAAGGAACACCCAUUGGCAAAUUUUCACAGAUCUCGAGAACGAAGAACAAGACCACCACCACCACAAAGUGGAAGCACACCUAUUUAUGACUUUGAUGAAUGGUCCAGGGCUCAUUAUGGUACCACGUUUGCGCGAGACAUGUAUUACAAAGAUAUGGUAUACAGACAAAGAGCAACAAGAGCAAGAGAAACAAUUGAUAUUAAAGUUGAGCGUACACUUGUUUUAAUUGCAACAGCCUUCAUAAUUUGUUUUAUAGUAUCACGUUCCUUCGACAAUCCCGAUAGUAUAACUUAUGUUUCAAAAAAAACGACACCACCCUGCGAUUGAUGACUGACUAAAUCAGUUACCAAUUAAUUUCCUUGUUAACCUGCAUCCAAGUUUAGAAAUACAAUUACGUCGUUAUACUUUUAUAAACUUCGUUAUACGUAUUUUUGGCGCCGUAUUUUAAAUUAAAACGAACAUGUGACGUAAUGUA